rnacentral:lncRNA from 1 species
ACCUUGUCAACAGCAUCCCCCAAUUCGUCUCUCAUGAACAAACUUAUCCUUAGUGGGAAUCGAGGAGGGCUUCCUGGAAGAGGCGAUGUCUGAGCUGCCUGGAAACACAAGAAGGCACACUACAGGUUGGAGGGAGGGGAGAAGGGGAUUCCAACUGGAGACGUUUUCUGCGCUAAAAGAAGGGUGGUGGUAGAGGGAAAGGGUCGGCAAUUUGCAAAUUCGAGAGUGAGCAGGCUGUCAAAGUCCCCGAAACCGUGAUGAAUGCGCCCGGGCUUCCAGAGCCGGCCCAAGUGCUCCUGAGCGAUGGUGAUUUAUGACGGCUGAGAUUUUUCUUAAGCAAGUGGUUUUCGGAGAAAAAAGAAAGGUCACAGUGAGUUAGGCCUUACAUAUCUUAUCUUGUUCUCCACCAGCCGGCAAUCCUGAACUUGGCGGAGCCCGUGGGAGUGUGGGCUGCGGGAACGGCAUUAAUACCCAACAAACAAGUGCAGGGGUCCCCCUGACGGGUACGCGGCUGGGCGGGGUGCUGCUCUUUUUCUCGGCGUUGGUGACGGGGGCAGGCAGUGGGGGUGGCUCCCCGCAGAGCCCAAGGGCUGAGAUGAGCAAACCCAAGCUGAGCUGGAGGAGGAGGCCGCUGGGCUGGGGGUCCCAGGCUAUCGUGGGGAAGAGGGAGGCGAGGUGGCCGUGAGUGAGGAAGGUGGGCACUGCCUGAUGUCCGCCAGUGGUGGGACUUGGUCCUGGUCCCCGCUGCAGCCAGGCUCUGGCAUAGCUGUGCCAAGCCCUCCACACUUGACAUGAGUGGGCGGGCUUGGUUCGAGUCCUGGCUCUACUCCUUUCAGGCUGUGUGACUCUGGGAAGCUUGCUCAACCUCUCUGGGCCUUGGAUUCCCUGACCACCAUAGCACUCAUUGCUACUCGUUCCAAACAACGUGGUCUGUCUGGUUAUGGGCUGUCUCUCCCCCCUGUUCUCGGCUGGAUCCAGUGCCCAGAAUGUGCUGGACGCGUGGUAGGUUCUGGACAUUUCUCUGUCGUUAGAUGAAAUGGAAUGAGUGGAGGUGUGAGGGUGAAAUGAGGCACUCCUGGAGUUCGGAGGACAGUCAGGAAGACUUCCUGGAGGAGGCAGCCCCUUUGGUACAUCUUCUCCCCAUAAUAUCGGCUGCCUGCCCAGAAUGGGGCUGCAGGAGGACACCCAGCUGGUGUAGAAAGAGGGGUCUGCUUAACCGAUGGUUGGGGGCUGGCUUCUAACCAGCCCGUGGGGCGGCGCAGCAGCUUUGAAGGUGGCUGUGAGAGGAGGGAGGGGCGCCCCACUGGCCUGGACCCCUGGACAGCACUCGGGCUGUGGAUGCCCUCGCUCGGUGCAGCACUGGGUCUCCGGCAGCCCCUGGCACGCUGAGACCGGUGGGGCUGGGGUUGGACUGUAGGUUAUCUGACUGGAGGGCCCGGAAAGAGCAGCCCGGGAGCCUCAGAAACAGGCCAGGGGGGGAGGAGGCCCGGCUCUCAGGAAACAGCUGGCCAGCCCCCCUUGCAGGCGCUCCCGCACUGCUCAGCCGGGCUUCCCACGGAAUUCUGGGGAAAGACCCCUGGGACCGUCGUGAGGAGAUGGCCAGCCCUGGUCCAGGCGGAUGGGGACCCCCAGGCCUGUGCCUGCCGCGGCCCUGUGGGCUGUGCCUGGGCCCUGGUAGGGAUGGAAGAUGUUUGCCCUCCUGGUGUCUGGAAACAUUUCUUCCUCCCAGGCCUGGCCCCGGGGCCUUGGCACGUCCUGCUGUCUCCUGCUCUCCUUGGCUGCCUUCUUCAGCUCUCGCCCUGUGUCCUGUCUGCUCUGGUCCGCCUGCCUGGCCUGGUCCUGGCCUCUUAUAGUGCCCUCCUCCCAAAAGGGGUAUGUCCACCUGGGACCUCAGAAUGUGACCGUUUUUGGGAACAGGGGUAUUUGCAGAUGUGAUGAACGUAAGGAUCUCGGGAUGAGACUGGCUGGGAGCGGCGUGGGCCCUAAGUCCAAUGACGGUAUGCCCACGUGAGAGACAACAGAAGGACACAGAUGCCCAGAGGAGAGGCCACAUGAGGACGGAGGCGGAGGCUAGACAAUGUGGGCACAAGUCGGGGGACGCCUGGAGCUCCCCGAAGUUGGAAGGAGCAGGAAGGACCCUCCUCUGGAGGUUUCGGGGGGACAACGGGCCUGCCUGUACCUUGAUUUUGGAUUUUUGUCUUCCAGAAUGUGAGAGAAUAUGUUUCUAUGUUUUUGUUUUUGAAAUAUUAAUUCUGGUAAAAUACACAUAACAUAAAAUUUACCAUUUCUAGGUGUCCAGUUCAGUGGCACUAAGUAAUUCACAUUGCUGUGCAGCCGUCCCCACCAGCCAUCUCCAGAACUUUCCAUCUUCCCAAACUGAAACCCUGUCCCCAUUAAACAUGAGCUCUGCCCCACCUACCACCGGCACCCACCAUCCUACUUCCUGUCUCUGUUGGUCUUCUGACCGCUCCAGGGACCUCACGUGCACAGAAUCACACAGUAUUUGUCCUGCUGUGACUACCUUCUUUCACUCAGCCUAAUAUCCUACAAGCUUGUCCGGGUCGCAGAAUUUCCCUUUUAAGGCUGAAGAAUAUUCGGUGGUAGGUAUAUGCCACACUGGAUUUAUCCAUUUGUCUAUUGAUGGGCGCUUGGGUUGCUUCCACCUUUUGGCGAUUGUGAACGAUGCCGCUGUGAGAGUUGGGCGUGCUGCUGCAGGUCUGUCAUUUCCGGCUGCCCGGCUGUGGCGGUCUGCUCAGUAGUUCUGAGAGGCGGACACGGGCUCCAGGUGCCCACAAGCUGUCCCAGACCUCGGUUGUGAUGUGGCGGAAAGGGCAUGGGCUCUGGUCCGACCCUGCACCUUGGGGAGGGGACACUGAGCCCCGCGAGCCCUGAGCGCUGAGACGUGGGUGUGAGAAUGGAUGUGAUGAGGGCGCACGGGCAGCCGUGGGCUCAUGGAGGGUGCCUCCAGGCACCAGGAGGAAGACGACAAAGGAGGAGGACCGGUCCCCGCUCGGGAGGCUGAGCUUCAUUGGGGAGCGCAGGAAUCCUGACCGGGAGGGCGAGGGGAAGGCGGACAGGGAGGCAGCGGCCCAGGGCCAGGCGGGGAGGCCUCUCCUGGCCACACCCAGCAGCACCCGGGGCUUCUCUCCGUUGGGAGCCUCGGGCAGCAGGUGAGGAAGGAGGAAGUGCGUUCUCCACGCCUGGAGCUGACGGCUCACCGGGUCUCGGCGGGAUUGGCAUCUCCUCGAUGGCAUCAGCUCCUUGGAACCGGAAAGGCAGUUUCCAUUGGACUUCAUCCACAUGGGUCUCUCGAUCAAGUUGAGAUGCAGAUGGACCCCCUCCCCUUUCUUUCGACAGGCCCAGUGCUGGGUGCCAGGUGACAGAGGGGACCCUCCGGACGCCAUUUCCACAUCCUGGAGCCUCCGUUCUGGAGGGGUGUGUGUGUCCUAUGGUGUGGUGACUGAUGACCAGAGACCGAGCGGCUUAAACCAACAGACACUCCUUCUCCUCCAGCUCUGGAGGCUGGAAUGUGAAAUCGGCGUGUGGGCAGGCCCAGCCCCCCGGAAGCUCCAGGCACAGCUCUAGGCCCUGAGAUGAGACACAAAGACGAACAACGCCAACGCGGCCCCUGACCCCAUAAGAUCACAUCUUGGCAGGGAGGGUCAGACGGUGAAGAAACGAGUAACUCCUGGUGCCAAGGUAGCGGCCGAGACGGUGUGUCUGGAAGCUCCGGCUUCCGAGCCUGUGUUUCUGCUCCAGACCCCGUGUCCUGGCGCCAGCCCAAGGAGGCCGUGAGCCCCUGCUGUUUCCCGCCUGGCCGAGCGCCCGCUCCUCCGGGAUCCCUCCCGCCCCUCCACACCUGGCGCUUCGGCCUCCUUCUCCGCCUGCCCUGAUGGUCGGCCGGCAAAGGCACUUCAUAGUUUUCUGGAUGCCUCCUAAUUUCAACUUCCAUCCACUGCCUGCUGGGGGGUCUUGGCUUCAGGGCAAGAACUGGGCAGGUGGCAACCUCAGCAGAGGCUCCGGAAGCUUCUGCAAGAGCACCGGGCUUGUCUUUACGAGGGACAAGCAGGCCCUGGCCCUCCCUCAUGUUGGAGCACAGGUGAGCUUCAGGUGUAAGAGGGUCCUAGGCCCAGAUUUGACUCCUCUUCAGGUGGUGGGGCUCCGAGGGAGGCACAGAGAGGCGGGGGGCCUACUGGGCUUUGGCCUGGUGCCCGCCCAGGUCUCCAGCCCCGCAGCACACGAUGGGAUCCCAGGAAGCAGAGGGGCUUGUGGGCUGACCUGGCCUUACCUCUCACAAGGAGACUGCGGCUCUCAGUGGAGCCGCUGCCGAACCCUGCCCGCCUCCUGGUCUCACCCUGUGGGGGCUCUGUGCCCUUGUGGGGCUGUGGGAGCCACAUGCCUGGGUUGCCCGCCCUGUCCCGUGCUGCCUCCACCCCAGAUGGGCCAGGUACCCUGUCUGCUCCUGCUGCCUCCCUCUCCUCUGGCCGUCCCUCCUCCAAUGCCGGGGUCGGCACUGGGGGCCCAGGGAGGCCUUGCAAAGUCCCCAGGCCUGUGGGGAAGACAAAGGAGAGACUGCAACACGGAGAGAGGAGUGGCAUCCAGACACUGGGCCGGAAGGAGGGUCCUAACCCCGUGGUCCUGACAAGCGGGGCACCUGGGAGCUGGCUGUGGUCAGGCCCAGCCCGGGGGGCCCUAGGCUCCACUCAGGCCCUCCCAUGUGCCUAGCCCCCCGUGGCCCCCGUGUGCCUGCUUCUGAGCCACCAUGAGCCUCCCCAGUCAGGGAAGUGGGCUUUCAGUUGGUCCUUUGCGUGGCUUCCCGGUGCACCUUUAAGUCCGGGGGCCCAGACAUGUGAGCCUGUCCUGAAGGGCACCGCCCACCCUGCCUGGCUGGGGUCCGGCCACCUCAGGAGUAGGUUGGGACAAGACAGUGGACGCUGCCUGGCCACAAAAAUAUCUCAGUGGACUGACUCUGGACCCCGGAAUUAAGCUAAAAGCUGCUGCGAUUGAUGUUUUCAGGAAAUAGCAUUCGGUCAGAGGCAGGGAAAUUUUUUCUCAGUGGGCUCCCUUUCCAUUUUUUUGGGUGCAUCUUAUUGAUUUCUGCACUGAAAUAGUGCUUUCAACGUUUUAAAAUAGAAUCCUAGGUGAAGGGAUCCCAGACUGGGGAUUUAAGUGGAAAUUGACACGGCUCUUCAUAAAAUCACCUUAAAAACAAGGCUCUUGGCUUUGGACGCCGGCCCGGCGCCUCCUGCCCGCCCCUUCACUUGCUCCCGCUCCCUGCUCUCAGCUUUUGGGCUAAAAUAGUCACUCGGACUAUUGCUCACUCGGUUCCAUCUUUCAGCUGUGGAUAUUUUCUCUUUUCUCUGUUGCUAGAUGUGGUGGGAGAGAGAGCGAGGCUGCAGCUCAGACCCCGGAGUUGCCUGCAGACAGUGUGGUGGCCGGCCGCUCCUGCCCUCUGCCAUGCCCCCAGCGCCCGCGACAGUGCCUGGCUGUGCCCAGGAACCUUAAGGGAGGCGCUCCUGCUGGUGGCGGGCUGGGCGUGCUCUUCCUUCUCCGAGGGCCGCUUUCUGCAAGGGUCUGUGCAGCCGCUCGUCACCCUGAUGCAGCUGCCACAGGAGACCCUCCUCCCUCCACUGACGUCCCGGGCUUGGGGUGCUGGCUCAGCCCACGACAGUGCAGGGUCGCCCCAUCCUGAUCCCCCGCUGGGCUGAAGCCUCUGUGUCCUCCUCCUGCCUCCUCCUGCUGCUGGAGUGCGUUCUGGCCCAUCCCUGCCACCCAGGCCCGAGGCCGUCCACAUCCUCCUCAACCCGUCCGGUGUGUGGGUCUGUGUUUCCUCUCUCUGGUCAGUCUCGCAGCCUCUGCUGCUGCCCUGCUCAGGUCCCAGGGAGGCCGGAGCCAGCUGGGCUGUGGUGGGAAGCGCCCCGGUCCCCCAACUGGCCCCUCUGUGCGACCCACGGCUCUGACUGUGGCUUUGGCGUCUACAGAACCCGUGUUGCAAGCACCUGUGAGUGAUUGGCCCACAGCCCGCUCGUCCUCACUCCUGCCUUUCCUCUCUCCGCCUUUUCUUGCUCCUAUACCUUCGCUGGCUCCCCACUGCCCUCAGAAUUCAGUCUGGCUCCCUGGCCUGGCGUUUAAUGCCUUGAAGGCUGCAGGCCCCUCCUGCUGGUACCCCUGCGUGCAGUGCCCCCAACACAGCAUCAUCCCUCCAUUGGGUCAGCGUCCCCAGUCUGUUGGCCACCCCCGUCCAGAUCACAUGGCCCUUCUGCUUUGCAGCACCGGCCCUUCCCCGAGAGGAGAUUGGUCCCCACAGGCUGUGCACUGCCCCUGUCCAGCCUGCUGGGGGGCUGGGAGCAUGCACAGGUGGGCAGGGCGCCUGGCUGGUCCUGCCAGCCCAGCUCCUUGCCCAACCAGGUACUGGUGGCAAUGACCAAGUUCCAGAGGGCAGUGAACAUGCCUGUGGGUCUCUGCACUGCCCGGAGAGGGUCCCUUGUGUCCUUUGACCUUGGGACCACUUUCCUGGUGGGUUGUCUUCCUGCUGCCUGAGCCCUCAGCUCCCUCUGCCCGGAAUCCCCCCAGCUGGCCAGAGCCCCCCGUGCCUGGAGCUCCCUCCCCCCGCUUGCUUCCUGCCAGCAGCCUUCCUGCCUCCCAGACCCUCUGCCCUGCCCCCUAGUUAUGGUACUUCCAGAUGUGGGCCUCCAAUGAUCGGUCUCUGAGACCCCAUGCAGGAUCUCCCCACCUGCCGACCUGCCCCCCUAACCUGACCCCAUCCCUGUGGUUUGGGGCGUCUGCUCCCUAACUCCACACUGGGCACCAGAAGAGAGGAAGAGAGGGC